rnacentral:misc_RNA from 1 species
CGAGGUAGAAUAAAGCGACAAACAACAAAACGAACUCGAAAAGAGCGGAGGGCUCAAGCAAUAGAAUUUGGCCAUCUUAUUCCGUCCCCCCCCCUCUCUGUACAACCGUUUUGAUCUCAUUCCUUGUUGCCUCCGGCUACCAUAUAUUGAUUGGUGUUAUACAAAUCAAGUAGGCACCAUGUCCGAAGAGCAGUCUCAUGCUGAUCAGGAUGCCUACGUGGCCGACGUCGACGGCAUUCUGGACGUGCUCCGCGCGCAAGUGCUGGAGCGGAAGCCAGAUGACAUUUUCCAGUUCAUCUCCAAGUCAGCGCUUAGUCUGCAGAAGGAUAGGGGCGCAGAAUCGUGCGAUCGCAUCAACUGUAAGGUCAAGGAUGAACAGAAGAGUCGUGCGUUGACUAUUAUCGUGUUCGGUGCCAGCGGGGAUCUGGCCAAGAAGAAGACAUUUCCUGCCCUCUUCGAUCUGUACUGCGGUGGGCUCCUCCCCCCGGAGGUGAACAUUAUCGGCUAUGCUCGCACCAAGGUGGACGAUGUCGAGAAGUGGAAGCAUGAGACGCUCAUGAAGUAUUUUUCGAACUUGUCGGAGCGCGGAUGCCACGCCGAGGACUUCUUGAAACACAUCAGCUACUUUUGCGGAGCGUACGAUAGUGUGGACGACUUCAAGCGUCUUGACGCAGUGAUUCGCGAGAAGGAGAAUGCCUUUAAGGGCCCUGAGAAGGGUGGAAACCGUCUCUUCUACCUUGCUCUUCCCCCAUCGGUAUUUGCAAGUGUCUGCGAGAGCAUUCACAAGGGUGCAAUGCCGCAGGAAGUGGGGGGAUGGGUGCGGGUGAUCAUCGAGAAGCCCUUUGGCCGCGAUACCAAGAGCUCUGCUGAGCUGUCCCAAGCGCUGGAGCCGUUCUUCGACGAGUCGCAGCUGUACCGCAUUGACCACUACCUCGGGAAGGAGAUGGUGCAGAACAUCAUCACGACACGCUUCGCCAAUCGUAUCUUCAGCGCUGUGUGGAAUGCGAGCAACAUCGCGUGCGUGCAGAUCACGUUCAAGGAGACCAUCGGCACUGAGGGCCGCGGCGGAUACUUCGACAGCAUCGGCAUUAUUCGCGAUGUCAUGCAAAACCACCUCACCCAGAUUCUUGCCCUGCUGGCCAUGGAGAAGCCGCGGUCGCUGGACGCUGAGUGCAUCCGUGACGAGAAGGUGUCGGUACUGAAGUGCAUUGAGCCGAUAACCAAGGAGAAUUGUGUUCUGGGUCAGUACACUGCCUCCGCCGAUGGUUCCAUCCCUGGUUACCUUGAGGACGUGACCGUACCCGAGGGCAGCACUUGCCCCACAUUUGCCGUGAUGCGACUCAACAUCAACAACGACCGGUGGGCCGGUGUCCCUUUUAUUCUCAAGGCCGGCAAGGCUGUGGAACAGAAGUACGUGGCGAUUCGCAUUCAGUUCAGGGAUGAGGUCCACCCCUACGGCGAGGCGACACAACGCAACGAGCUCGUCAUCCGUGCCCAGCCGUCCGAGGCUAUGUAUGUCAAGAUCACCACAAAGGUUCCUGGCCUUAGUGGAGAUUUGCGGCAGACGCACCAGACAGAGCUGGACCUCACAUACCACACUCGGUACGAUGUGCGCCUUCCAGACGCCUACGAGAGCCUCAUCAACGACGCACUGCUGGGCAACUCGACAAACUUUGUGCGUAAGGACGAGCUCGAUGUGGCAUGGCGCAUCUUCACGCCGCUCCUGCACCAGAUUGACUCUGGAGAGAUCAAACCGAUCCCGUACCAGGCCGGCACGCGCGGGCCUAAGGAAGCGGAUGAAUUCAUCGCCAACAACGGCUUCAAGCACCAGAAAGGCUACCACUGGCUUCCGUCGAACAAGCUGUGAUGAAGGCAGACAUUGCAGUCUGUUUCACAGUACCCUGUCGACGACAGCGAGAGAGUCAGGGUGUUAUACACUGGAUGCGUGCCUAUCCGCCCCCAGAAAUCACGUGGUCGCGCUCUGCGGUACACACCGACCAACGCUGCGGAUACAACACGGAGAAGAGAGGAGAGAGGGAUAGUCAGCGGCUGUCAAGGCGGCCCCGUGAGCUGCCAAUUUGCAUCCCGUACCUCUACUGUCUACGCACCUCUUUUUCUCGUUCUCCCUUGUUCUCCCCCUCCCCCAUGCGUGCGCACUGUGGCCCGGACAGCUAGAGGAUGUGUGAGCCGUUUCACCUUACAGACAGCGCCUUACGCCUUUCUUCGGCUCUGGUUGACUUUGUUCCUGCCUAUUUCUGUACCGGUGGUACCUCUCCCACUACCCUCCUCCGGCUCACUUGCAGCACGCGGCGUAAGCUUCGCUGCGGCACCAUUUCUGACGCCUCUGCUGUGGAUGCCAAAAGGGAGACUCCACGUUGAUUGAGACUUCGCUACUGGUGAUCAAAGGGUGGAGGGUUGGCAAGGGAAAGGAUGGGUGCCCAGGGUGCUAGCGGAAGUCGUAAAAUGUGCGGAAGCACAAGAGGAGAGACAGGAAAACGGAUGAGAGAUAGAUCGCUGGAUUCUGAGGAGAAUGCGCGGGCACCCAACACGGAGGCACGCAGACGAUGCGAAUGCUGUUCUCACGUUUAUUUUUCCUUUGCCUUUUUUUUUGUUAUUUGCUUUGGUCGGCCUGUUUUUUUUUCCUCUUGUGCAGCUACUUUUGUAUGCAGAUUUUUACUUUGCUUGUGUCGGUUCUGGAGUUGCCUCUCGCCGCCCUCCCCCCCCCCUCUCCACCCCCCCCCGAAAAAAAAAAACACACACCGCCCCUCGGACGUUCCGCUCCCUCCCCGUACGCAUUUCCGACCGUUCUCCCUCCCAUUCUGCGUACGUAAAUUACAUUUUUGCUUUCCUUAUUUGCUAUCAUAGUCACUUAGGGGUACAUUCACACGUACCAUGAGCGUGGCGCAGCGAGGUGCCCAGCCAUCCGGAAAGGAUCGAGAAGAGGCAUGCGAAAGGAUUGAAAACGAAGGGUAGGCCUCGUUUAAGCAGCAGCAAUACAGACGCGUAUAGGAGUGACAAGCAUUCCUGAUUGACUUCGCGAAUAUGGAAUGUGCUCG